CAGAGAUAUCACUCUCAAUCAGAGAGGGGCAAAUCCCAUCUUGAUUGACCAUGUCUCAUAGCAUGCUUCUUGACAAACCCGAAAACUACCUUUAUAACUACCCUGUUACGGUGUAGCGUUUGAUAGCCCCUAAGUAGGUCGAUCCACAUCUAGAAUACAUGCGACAAUCUCAGGUCUAAGGACAAAGCGUAUAUGUUGUUUUAAAGAGAGAACUACUUCUCGUGUUGGGUCAGUCCUAACACAUGUCUCCACAUGUGUCCACAUUAUUAGUUCAACAUCUCCAUGUCAAUGACUUGUGAAACAUAGUCAUCAACUAAUACAUGUGCUAGUCUAAUAUUCAUGUGUGUCCUCACAUGAACUCCGACUAGGGACAACUUUAGAAUAACCAUACAAGUAAAGAGUUUCACAUACAAUUCACAUAAUUGCAAAUCAAUUCAAGUAGUCUUUAAUGGAUAUUCAAUGAACACAAUAUACAAAUCAUGGAUACAAAUGGAAUAUCAUCAUCUCUAUGAUUGCCUCUAGGGCAUACCUCCAACAGAGGGAUGGAAGGGCGGCGGCCAGCGGGCUGGGGUAGAUGCCAAGGCCAGGCUGGCUGCCGGCGGAGGGGGCGGGGGGUGCAACUUAGCGAUUGCGCAUUUACUUUCCUCCUCUCAAGUCCAUUUAACCAUACUAAUUUUCUUAUUAUUGAAUAUUUUCAACUAGUCAACCCUAUUCUAAACGACUCAAACCAUUAAGGGGGUGUUUGUUUCUUUAGCACCUCCUAAAAUUCUUGUCACAUCGAAUGUUUAAAUACUAAUUUGGAGUAUUAAACGUUGACUAAUUAUAAAACCAAUUGUACAGAUGGAGACUAAUUUGCGAGACG
rnacentral:lncRNA from 1 species